rnacentral:lncRNA from 1 species
CUCUUCGGUAUCAUACUUACUCUGCAAUGUUUUCCAAAUUUUCUUUGCACUAGAGUAAGUUCUAUCAUAAUAAUCAUAAAAAUUAUCAGAUAGACAAUUAAGAAUAUAAUACCGACAUUUAUAAAAAUCACCAUGAUACUUUUCCACUUUCUCUAGAUGAGAAAUAUUUUCAUUAUCAUUCAUAGAGGUGAUGUCAACUUUAUUAGGAUUAUUCUCCGUUAACACAUAAGAAACAUUGAGAAGACUUAAGUAGAAAAGCAUUUUACCCUUCCAUCUCUUGAAAUGGUUAUAAUUGAGCCAAAAUGGCUUGUUAAGGUAUCCCAUCUCAACAUCCGUGGUUUUUUCAAUUGUAGCCAUUAUGAUAUCUCCUUAAAAUUGUUAGUGAAAAUUACAAUAUUACAAGAUUACAAUUGAAAAUAAAAUGAAGAAAUAAAAUCUCUUCAGGCUGAGGCGCGGAUAUCUCGCUCUCUUUAAGGAGAUUCAAAUCCAGUGCAGCAAUUGUUUUCACUGGUCCAGCAGUAGUCAUUCUUGACUUGUCCCCUCCAAGGUACAACAACUUAAUCACAAAGUACAACUCAACAAACUCUGUACAAGAGUUGAGUCCAAAGCUCCACAAAAAGAACACCUCCCAUCAACUAAUAAAAACUCUCUUUUUGACUAAGUUUAUGCACUCUAUAUUUUCUUAUGUUCCCAAAAUAAAAGAAGAGCACCACUAUUUAUAAUUGAAGAAAUCUUCCUAGCAAUGAACAAGAAGAUAAUGGGGUAGUAAAUAGUGAAGAUAAAUGGCCUAGAGGUUACAUAUGUUACAAAGAAUAAUGAGUGAAAUAAUGUGAGGGCAUCCAAUGCCACUAACGUGCAAAAUGAAGAGUUGUGACAUUUUUAAAUGGUUGUGACUUUUCUGAUAAAGCACAAUAAACACAUGUUCACAGUUCAUACUUCAUACUAACCUUUUUUGGCCAAUGAUAAGAUUCCCGGAGAAUAGUGAAGAUUCCGAGCAUUUGAAGGGAAAGUUCACCUUCCAUGCAAUCCCAAUGAACACAAAAUGAGCUGAUUGAGUUCAUGAGAGACCCAGCAUGUAGAUAUAUCAAUUUGUUCACUAUUUGCCAAGUCGUGAAUGAUUCUGAAAAUUUGCACAACAGUUCACGAGUAUCUUUAUCAUAAAUUCAUAAAAAGAAAAAAUUAUGAAGCACAGAUCUGCAGUACAACAAAAACAAAUGGACUAUCCACUGGAUCAUCUUCUACGCCUUGAUGGACCACCAGAUUUUUCUAAAGUUAAAUAAUACGUAUCAAAACCAACAUUUGUGAAAGACUCCAUAGCUAACGUUGGUUGUCACUUGUCAACAUCCACAAUCUCAAAAUUCAGAUUAUGUGCAGUGCUGUAAGUGAUGAGAAAAAUUCGAAGCCGUGGAGUCCGAUUACAUCUCAUC